rnacentral:rRNA from 1 species
GUCUACGGCCAUACCACCCUGAACACGCCCGAUCUCGUCUGAUCUCGGAAGCUAAGCAGGGUCGGGCCUGGUUAGUACUUGGAUGGGAUUGGCUUAUGAUCUUUCAUUCUGUGGUUCUGAGAACCCAUUCUUGGACU